CAGCAGCCACGGGAAUACGAGGGGGGCAAGCGUUGUUCGGAAUUAUUGGGCGUAAAGGGCGCGUAGGCGGUUUGACAAGUCUGAUGUGAAAUCUAUGGGCUCAACCCAUAGCCUGCAUUAGAAACUGUCGGGCUUGAGUAUGGGAGAGGUGAGUGGAAUUUCCGGUGUAGCGGUGAAAUGCGUAGAUAUCGGAAGGAACACCUGUGGCGAAAGCGGCUCACUGGACCAUAACUGACGCUGAGGCGCGAAAGCUAGGGGAGCAAACAGGAUUAGAGACCCGUGUAGUCCCUGUCUCUUAUAC
rnacentral:rRNA from 1 species